rnacentral:tRNA from 1 species
GUCGCCAUGGUGAAAUUGGUAUACACGUACGUUUCAGAAGCGUAUGGGGCAACCCGUGGAGGUUCAAGUCCUCUUGGCGACACCA